GGCUUCUUGGUCAAGCGGUAAGGACACUUGGCUCUCCUGGAGUCCCGGGUUCGAUCCCCGGUCGAGUAGCUA